rnacentral:rRNA from 1 species
UACGGAGGGGGCAAGCGUUGUUCGGAAUUACUGGGCGUAAAGCGUGUGCAGGCGGGCCGCUAUGUGCCGUGUGAAAGCUCCCAGCUUAUCUGGGAGAGGGCGCGGUAGACAGGCAGCCUGGAGGCUCGGAGAGGUCAGUGGAAUUCUCGGUGUAGUGGUGAAAUUCGUAGAUAUUCGCAAGAACACCAGUGGCGAAGGCGGCUCACUGGCCCGAUACUGACGCUGAGGCACGAAAGCGUGGGGAGCAAACAGG